rnacentral:rRNA from 1 species
ACGGGUGAGUAAUAUAUCGGAACGUGCCCUGGAGUGGGGGAUAACUAGUCGAAAGAUUAGCUAAUACCGCAUACGAUCUAUGGAUGAAAGUGGGGGAUCGCAAGACCUCAUGCUCCUGGAGCGGCCGAUAUCUGAUUAGCUAGUUGGUGGGGUAAAAGCCUACCAAGGCCACGAUCAGUAGCUGGUCUGAGAGGACGACCAGCCGCACUGGGACUGAGACACGGCCCAGACUCCUACGGGAGGCAGCAGUGGGGAAUUUUGGACAAUGGGGGCAACCCUGAUCCAGCAAUGCCGCGUGUGUGAAGAAGGCCUUCGGGUUGUAAAGCACUUUUGUCAGGAACGAAACGGUCUGGGCUAAUACCUCGGACUAAUGACGGUACCUGAAGAAUAAGCACCGGCUAACUACGUGCCAGCAGCCGCGGUAAUACGUAGGGUGCAAGCGUUAAUCGGAAUUACUGGGCGUAAAGCGUGCGCAGGCGGUUGUGCAAGACAGAUGUGAAAUCCCCGGGCUUAACCUGGGAACUGCAUUUGUGACUGCACGGCUAGAGUGUGUCAGAGGGGGGUAGAAUUCCACGUGUAGCA